UUCCUACGGGGCGCAGCAGUGGGGGAUAUUGCACAAUGGGGGAAACCCUGAUGCAGCGACGCCGCGUGAGUGAAGAAGCAUUUCGGUGUGUAAAGCUCUAUCAGCAGGGAAGAAGAAAUGACGGUACCUGACUAAGAAGCCCCGGCUAACUACGUGCCAGCAGCCGCGGUAAUACGUAGGGGGCAAGCGUUAUCCGGAUUUAUUGGGUUUAAAGGGUGCGAAGGCGGAAUGCC
rnacentral:rRNA from 1 species